UUACUUUGGCAGAAUAGUGUAUUUGAUUUAGAAUCAUUUUAUGUAAAAAUUUACAGGUAAUAU
rnacentral:tRNA from 1 species